AACCCAUGGUUAGGACAUUUCCUCAACAACAUCUGGAAACGUUCCCAUGCCUCAUAAAAUGCUUCAUCUGCACCUUCUGUAAAUGUAGAAAUUUCAAACUUCGCAU
rfam:Lupinus angustifolius cultivar Tanjil chromosome LG04, whole genome shotgun sequence.